CAGGGAAUCUUGUCCAAUGGGCGAAAGCCUGAGACAGCGACGCCGCGUGAGGGAUGAAGGCCUUCGGGUUGUAAACCUCUUUCAGGAGGGACGAAAUUGACGGUACCUCCAGAAGAAGCCCCGGCCAACUACGUGCCAGCAGCCGCGGUAAUACGUAGGGGGCAAGCGUUGUCCGGAUUUAUUGGGCGUAAAGGGCUCGUAGGCGGCUCAACAAGUCGAUCGUGAAAACCCAGGGCUCAACCCUGGGACGCCGGUCGAUACUGUUGUGGCUUGGGUCCGGUAGAGGAGAAUGGAAUUCCCGGUGUAGCGGUGAAAUGCGCAGAUAUCGGGAGGAACACCAGUAGCGAAGGCGGUUCUCUGGGCCGGUACCGACGCUGAGGAGCGAAAGCGUGGGGAGCAAACAGGAUUAGAUACCCUGGUAGUCCACGCGGUAAACGAUGAGAACUAGAUGUUGGGGGAAAUUGUCCUUCAGUGUCGCAGCUAACGCGUUAAGUUCUCCGCCUGGGGAGUACGCCGGCAACGGUA
rnacentral:rRNA from 1 species